UUGGGUGAAAUGGAGCUCCCUUCUUUCCAACAUAGUGAGGAAUAGGGUGUUUACAUCUGCUGGUUCAUGAAUACCUUUGGGUGCGCAUUUCAAAGGGGUACGCGCAGUUUAAGGGUGGGCAUGAACCAGGAGAUGAGAUUGCCUUCUUCUUUUCUAUCUUGGAUUGAAGGGAGCUCCAAUGACGUCUCUC
rnacentral:pre_miRNA from 1 species